GGAGAGAUGGCCGAGUGGCUUAAGGCACCUCAUUGCUAACGAGGAGUAGGUUAAAACCUGCCGUGAGUUCGAAUCUCACUCUCUCCGCCA
rnacentral:tRNA from 1 species